AAUCUUUGAUGAUGCUUCCCUGGGGGUGAUGCUUCCCUUGCCAUCAAAUCAACAGCCUGGUUUGUCUCCCAGAUGAAGAGGGGAAAGAAAUCUGCUACUCCAAGUCUGUUGGACAUGAAAAGCCAGAAGCAGGAACAUACCAGCUGUAAAUAAGCAUCUUGGAUGAAUUAAGGGGAAGGAGCACCUGGCCACCCUCAUCAAGUGAAUUACUAACCAAGCACCCCAGGAAUAAAAAGGAGAAAAGGCAAACAUUUACAGAUUUGCACCUACUCUGUCAGAAUCCCAUCAGCAGUGUCUCGUCCCUCCGGGGUAUCCCAGAACACUCUGGCCGUCAACUUGUUGGGCUCCGCAGUUUUCUCCUUCACGCUUGGACACUGGAUUCUUGGAGGUUCAGUAUCUGUUGAAAUAAACAUCACAGAAGUGGGCACAUGUGCAUGUGUUAUAGCUAUGCAUUUUCUUCACAGCUCUUGCCCUGUUGUCAGCAUAAUUCAGGACCACCUUCAGCUGGCCUCCUCAACACUGGAGCUGUCCCAGCCAAGGCAGGUAGAGCCUGUACUUCUCACAUUUUUGUGAGUAAGAGAUGACAACGAUCACCCCCCCACACCUAAUGUAAAAAACUAAUUAAAAAGUAGUUAUUGUAACUUUCUUUAUCUAGUCCCCAGUUAAAAAGCAAUGUCUACAAAUUGACUGUAUUUAGCUUUGAACUCUAAGAAAGAAUACGCAAGAUUGUACCUGAGGAGUCUGACCCUUCUGUUUAUCUGCUCUGCCUCUCUUUGUUCAUCUGUGCAGUAGAUAUUGUGAUUAAGAACAUUUGUAAAGCACACUGAACGCAAAUCUCUCUCUAUGAUAACUUUGCAUGUUUUUGUUAAAUUCUUGAUUAUUUUUCCUGCAGCAAUGGCAAAAAGAGAAACAAUGGAAGACUAACACAAUUUUCAUUUUGCAGGGAGUUGCUGCUCCAUUUGAUUUUUUUCAAGUAAUUCUUAUAAUAAUGCCUUACAGGUAAUACAAAACAAAAGUAGACCAGGUAAGUUUUGAAAGCCUGUUUAACAGCUAGCAGAACACUGUGGCUAUUAUUCAGGAGUAAAGGAACAGUGGUGAUGAUAAAAGACCCUGAUAAAGGACAAAGGCACAGCUACUCAUCUCCAGCUGCUUCUGUUGCCAGUCCUGCCAGCAUAGCAGAAAUAUAUGGGCGAACCAAGUCCAAACACCAUCACAAUCAUUAAAAAAAAAAAAAAAAAAAAAUCUUUAAUAGCUUAGUCUCAAGUUUUUUUACCAUCGCUUAGGUUAUACGCAAAAUGAAGUCUAAAGCCAUAGAGUCAUCUAUCAGCUUUAAAAAUCAACACAGAGACAGGAUUGCUCUUUACCUGCACAUAGAAAACAAUCCCUAAGUGCUGCUUAAAAUUUAAGGGGUGGCAGGCCUUGUCUUUUCAUUUGCAGGGCAGACACAAAAAGUAUAAAUCUGGAUUUCUUUCAAAAAAAACCAGCAAUGAGAAAAGGUUUAGGUCUUUAUAAAGCAUCAAAUAUACAAAAUAAUUUCAUAAACCUUCAUAUUCUACAAGCAACACACAAUGUUUUCUACCAGUAUAACUAGGGCAAGUGCAGCCCUGCUAUAACCCCUUCAAACUUUUAAUGGUAUUCCAAGGACCUGGGACUCUUGAAAACUGGCUUAUCUCUAUUUCUUCUGCAAGAGUUUUCUUCCAACCCCAAACACUGCAGCUUUGUGAGGCACUUCCACAGGAAGAGAUCCUGUCUUAAUUUUGCACAGGAGGGAGUGGGGGAGGCACAGGCAAGUAAGUGUGGUACCGAAGUUAUUCAGAAAACAUCAGGAAUAUUGCAAACUGCCUUACGCAAAUGCUUAUUUUUGUGGGUUGUUUUUGCAAAUAAACAAUGAAAAAAUA